CUGCCAAUGGCUCAUUAAAUCUGUUAUCGUUUAUUUGAUAGUACCUUACUACUUGGAUAACCGUGGUAAUUCUAGAGCUAAUACAUGCUGAAACCCCCGACUUCGGAAGGGGUGUAUUUAUUAGAUAAAAAACCAAUGCCCUUCGGGGCUCCUUGGUGAUUCAUGAUAACUUCUCAGAUCGCAUGGCCUUGCGCCGGCGACGGUUCAUUCAAAUUUCUGCCCUAUCAACUUUCGAUGGUAAGGUAUUGGCUUACCAUGGUUUCAACGGGUAACGGGGAAUUAGGGUUCGAUUCCGGAGAGGGAGCCUGAGAAACGGCUACCACAUCCAAGGAAGGCAGCAGGCGCGCAAAUUACCCAAUCGCAACAUGCGGAGGUAGUGACAAUAAAUACUGAUACAGGGCUCUUUUGGGUCUUGUAAUUGGAAUGAGUACAAUUUAAACCUCUUAACGAGGAACAAUUGGAGGGCAAGUCUGGUGCCAGCAGCCGCGGUAAUUCCAGCUCCAAUAGCGUAUAUUAAAGUUGUUGCAGUUAAAAAGCUCGUAGUUGAACCUUUGGCCUGGCUGGCAGGUCCGCCUCACCGCGUGCACUUGUCCGGCCGGGCCUUUUCUUCUGGAGAACCGCAUGCCCUUCACUGGGUGUGUUGGGGACCAGGACUUUUACUUUGAAAAAAUUAGAGUGUUCAAAGCAGGCCUUUGCUCGAAUACGUUAGCAUGGAAUAAUAGAAUAGGACGUGCGGUCCUAUUUUGUUGGUUUCUAGGACCGCCGUAAUGAUUAAUAGGGCCAGUCGGGGGCAUUAGUAUUCAGUAGUCAGAGGUGAAAUUCUUGGAUUUACUGAAGACUAACUCCUGCGAAAGCAUUUGCCAAGGAUGUUUUCUUUAAUCAGUGAACGAAAGUUAGGGGAUCGAAGACGAUCAGAUACCGUCGUAGUAUUAACCAUAAUCUAUCCCGUCUAGGGAUCGGACGGUGUUAUUAUUAUGACUCGCACGGCACCUUUCGAGAAAUCAAAGUA
rnacentral:rRNA from 1 species